CUGAUAAAUCAUCCUAAAUGUAUGUUGUUUUUAAUAUGUAAGAAAAUAUACGUGAAGUGAACAACAAUUGUGGAUUAGAAGAUUUGUGGAUAAAAGAAUACGCAAACGAUUUUAGAAAUAAAAUCGAGCAACUUGCUUUUCCUACUUGAUUUACCAGUAUCCAGAUUCUCUUAUGUGGUUGGAAUCCCUUGUGGGCGCCGCUCUCGUACCGGAGGAUACGCUUUGUGAACGGCUUAACUUCGGUUUACACGAUGAAGCGGACGUGUUUCGUCGUGAUAACAAAGGGACGACGAUGGCUCGUCGAAAAGUCUUAGGAAGAAUUGGAGGUGAAACGUGUUUCUUAAAAAACGACAGAUUGCCGUCGAAAUUUUUCUAAUUCAUCUCCUAAAUUUUUAUUUCUUGAAGAUAAAUCAAGAUCUCGAAGGAACAAUGGUGCACAGUGUUUUUCAAAAAA